UCCAGCUGCGGUUCCGACCGGUCCCCAGCCUCGCGAGGCACACGCGCGCGUGCACACACACGCGCUCACACUCCCGCUCACACUCGCGCAUCCUCGCUCCCGGCACCCCACCCUCCGAGCCGCUUCUCCGCGGGGUGGGGUGGGGGGGGUGGGGUGACGUCAGGACUGCAGUCCCGAGGAGAGCGGCUGGAGAGGGUUGCGCGCUCCUCGCCUAGGAAGCUGGAGGCGCACUCGGGCAGGCGCCGCUCGCGCGCUCCUCCCUCUCCUCUGCACCCGCUGUCACGCUGCCCGCCCGCGGGGGAGCCUCGCGAGCCUCCAGGUGAAUUGAAAGUCGUUUCCGGGGGAGGACGGAGAGGGUGCUGCAGUCCUGGCAGGCACUGAAACUGCAACUCGGACAGAAACGACCCGGCGGAGGAGCGGGCGCGCGGCGGCGUGCGCAGCCUCCCCGGGCUGCCGGAGGCGGCCGCUGCACAGCUCGCCGCGGAGCGCGGCGGCCGGACCUCCGCCCCGGCACUCCCCGCCCCGGGCGCGCUCGCCGGGGAGAGACCCCCGAGUCCUGCGCAUUUCGCAGCUGCGCCGGCGUGGGGAAUGAGAGCGCGGUGGCUCCGGGUCGCCGCGGAGCAGCUGCCGGUGGGAGAGAGAGGCGAGGCGAGGGGGCGGCAGCCUCGGCCCGAACAUCACUCUGACUUCUGGGUUGGAAAUUGACGGCAGAGGCCGGAAGACCAGCUGAGAGGCUGCUGCAGUGACCCAGAGUGGAAAUCAUUGAACAAAAUAUUUGUUUGCUUCAAAGGU